AAAAACUUAAAAAGAGAGAGAGAGAGACUGGGAGAAGUAUUUGCUAUGAAACAGACUGGGAAUCUUCAUAUUUGGAGCCUAAAGAAAGACAAUGAGAGACAGUUUUGACUUCAGCCACUGGUUUCAUAAAGGAAUUCGCAGAUCAACAAUCAUCACAAUAGUCUAGAAAUCUCAAUUCUUGGAACGCAGCAUCUUCAACUCCACUCCUAUUUGCCCCCAAACUGAGGAAAGAAAUCUCAUGCCUCUCUACCAACAAAGGACCGUUUAACACAGUCACAAUAGGCUUCUCCUUCGGCAGCAAUCUAGCUUGCUCAUUCAGGGCUUGGGAGUACAAAUACCCC